CGCUAACAACCCAGGCAUAGUCUUAACCUUUGUGCUUCCCACGGAGCAGUUCCACUUAGGCAAGAUUGAGGAGCUUCUCAGUGGAGAGAACAGGGGCCCCAUUCUGCUCCCCUACCAGUUCCGGAUGGAGGAGAUCGAGGGCUUCCGCUAUCGCUGCAGGGAUGCCAUGCGCUCAGUGACUAAGCAGGCCAUUCGGGAGGCAAGAUUGAAGGAG
rnacentral:misc_RNA from 1 species